GGGGAUUUAGCUCAGUGGUUUAAGCACCUGCCUGGUAGGCAUGAGGUAUGAGUUUAAUCCCCA
rnacentral:tRNA from 1 species